GGACACGUGUUUUGCAGGAAUCAUAUGAUAAGAAAAUGACAUGGAAAAAGUUUCUCUUUCGGACACCCUUGAAUCAGCUGUUCUAAUCUUGUUUUGGCAUAUAUAGGAAAAAGCAAUCAGAAUGGGUAUCUAAAAGCACUUGACUGGAAAGUGUCUAGUUUUGCUUCAUCAUUUUGGUAGAAAGGAGGAGCAUGCUGAUUUACAAAAGUGAACAGAAGGAAAUCAAGGUAGAACCAAGGGAAGGUAACUUCUCUCCGGUCCCUCUGGGCAAAAUUUACCUUCAGAACUUGCUUUGUGAUGAAUGCUAUUAGAAGAAGAGGUGUCAAACCACUACACAACUGUAUAGAAAAAUCUUCAGGCUACUUCAGAUCCAGUGUGGAAUAAGUUUCUCUGAAGAUUUCUGAGAAUAGCCAUGACUCGUGAACUAUUUGAUGAAACCUUAUCAAUGGAGAGGAAACAGCUCUUUUGGCCCCAUGGACAGUGGGAUGGAGUACACCCUCAGCAGAUUUGCAGUGACACCAAGCUGUGUGGAAGGGCUGACACUGGAGGGAAAGGAUGCUGUCAAAGGAGCCUGGACAGGAUGGAGAUGUGGGGUCGUGCAAACCUCAUGAAGUUCAAAAAGGGCAAGUGUAAGGUCCUACACCUGGACUGGGGCAAGCCCAAGCCCAAGGACAGAUUGCAUAGAGGGAGAAUGGAUUGGGAGCAGCUCUCAGGAGGACUUGGGGGGUUGGUGGAUGAGAAACUCAAUAUAACCCGGCAAUGUGCACCCACAGUCCAGAAAGCCAACUUCAUCCUGUGCUGCAUCAAGGAAAAUGUGGGCAGCAGGGCGAGGGAAGUGAUUCUUCCCCUCAACUCCACUCUUGUGAGACCCCACAUGGAAUGCUGCAUCCAGCUCUGGAGCCCUCAACAUAAAAAAGACAUGGACCUGUUAAACUGGAUUCAGAGAAGGCUGCAAAGAUGAUCAGAGGAAUGGAGGACCUCUCCUAUGAAGACAGGCUGAGACAGCCAGAGUUGUUUAGUUUGAAGAAGAGAGGGUUUCAGAAAGAUGUUCUAACAUCUUCCAGGGCCUAAAGCGGUCCUGGAAGAUUAUAAGACUGGAUAGAGCUUUUUACAAGGGCAUGUAGUAAAAAGACAAGGGAGAAUAGCUUUAAACUAAAAGAGGGUAGAUUCAGAUUACAUAUUGGAAAUGCACUUUUAAGGCAGUGAGGCAGUGGAAGUGUUCAAGCCCAGGGUGGAUGGGGCUUUGAGCGACCAGGUCUAGUGGAAGCUGUCCCUUCCCAUGACAGGGGUGUUGGAACUAGAUGAUAUUUAAGGACCCUUUCAACCCAGAUUCUUCUGUCAUUCUGUGAACAUUAUUAACUUUUCAGUCUGGGUAUCAGUUUCCAGCCAAGUGCUGUGGGUAAAUUAUCAGAAGUGAAGAGCAGGACAGAACCUCACAGGCAUCAGAAAUGAAUGCUGAAGGCAUGUGUGUGAGGAAACCUAAACCUGUCCUCUCCUCUCCUGAUGGCCCUGUCAGAGCAAACAGCUCAGGAGCCAGCUCUGGCCUUGGGAACUGCUCACAUGGCAGCUGCUCAUACCCUUUGUUCCUCUCUCGUCUGCCUCAUUUUGCUAAUAUCUAUGAAAAGGUGGUUUCAAGGGACACAAACCAUUGAUGUGUCCUCAGUCAUUACUCAAAAGUCUUGCUUUGGUUCCUGUCUUGUUAUAGCUUUUAUGGAGUGUAAGUAGCAAGCUCCUUAAUUUCAUGAGCUUUGGUCUUUUGUCUAAGUCCAAUAUC